rnacentral:rRNA from 1 species
AUGGCGGCGGGGCAGUGGUCAGGCAUCGGCGACGGCGGCGGCCUCUGGGCCCCGCCCGCGCUCUACAGCCUCUUCCCCGACGAGCAGCCGGCGCUCGGCUUCUACGGGGGAUCCCUCGCGCAGCUCCCUUCCCCUCCGCCGCUCCUCGGGUACCCCCAGGACAACUUUGAUGUGUUCCAUGAACAAGACCUAGCACAGCUGGCAGCACAAGUAGCUCAAAAGAAAGAGUUGCGGGGAAAACAAGGGGCGGGAUUGCAUCACAAGAUUGGACCUCAACUAGCUUUUUCGAAAUACAGUAUACUUGAUCAAGUGGACAACUCUUCUUCUUUCUCAUUGGCAACUUCAGUGCUGACACCUCAGCAUGUCAGUUCUUCCGUAGGCGCGGCAUCAAUGCAGGGACAGACUUUGCCAUCACACACUGGUAGUGGUAGUGUCAACACUGGACCAACUGGAGUUUUACAAGUGCUCCAAGAUUCAUCCACCACUCUGGACAGUAUCAACACUGGAUCAGCUGGAGUUCUGGAAGCACUCCAAGGUUCAUCCAUCACUCUGGAUAGACCUGCUGAUGAUGGAUACAAUUGGCGUAAGUAUGGACAAAAGGCAGUCAAGGGUGGGAAGUAUCCAAAGAGCUAUUACAAAUGCACCCUGAACUGCCCGGUCAGGAAAAAUGUAGAGCACUCUGCAGAUGGACGAAUUAUUAAAAUAAUUUAUAGAGGUCAGCACUGCCAUGAACCUCCCUCGAAGAGGUUUAAAGAUUGUGGUGAUUUAUUGAAUGAGUUAGAUGAUUUCAAUGAUGCCAAGGAGCCUUCAACUAGAUCACAAUUAGGUUGUCAAGGUUAUUAUGGAAAACCUAUAACGCCAAAUGGCACGAUGGUGGAUGGUUUAUUGCCAACGAAGGAAGAGGGAGAUGAACAAUUAUCUAGUUUAAGUGAUAUCCGGGAAGGUGAUUGUGAAAUAAGAAUUGUUGAUGCAGAUGUUGGUGAUGCUGAUGCAAAUGAAAGGAAUGUACCAGGUCAAAAGAUUAUCGUGAGUACAACGAGCGACGUUGACCUUUUGGACGACGGCUAUAGGUGGCGCAAGUAUGGACAGAAAGUGGUGAGAGGAAAUCCUCACCCAAGGAGCUAUUACAAGUGCACUUACCAAGGCUGCGCCGUCAAGAAGCAUAUCGAGAGAUCUUCCGAGGAACCACAUGCUGUGAUAACUACAUACGAAGGGAAGCAUACCCAUGACGUGCCUGAGUCCAGGAACAGAAGCCAAGCCACAGGUCAACACCACUGCAAAGAGCAGACUUAUUCAGAACAACCAGCUGCUAGCUUCUGCAGUAGCUCGGAAAAGAGAAAAUACGGAACAGCCAUUCUGAACGAUCUCGCCUUCUAG